CCUACGGGGGGCAGCAGUGAGGAAUAUUGGUCAAUGGACGCAAGUCUGAACCAGCCAAGUAGCGUGCAGGAUGACGGCCCUCCGGGUUGUAAACUGCUUUUAGUUGGGAAUAAAAGGGGGCUCGUGAGCCCCGUAUUGUAUGUACCAUCAGAAAAAGGACCGGCUAAUUCCGUGCCAGCAGCCGCGGUAAUACGGAAGGUCCGGGCGUUAUCCGGAUUUAUUGGGUUUAAAGGGAGCGUAGGCCGGCUUUUAAGUCAGCUGUGAAAGUCCGCGGCUCAACCGUGGAAUUGCAGUUGAAACUGGAGGCCUUGAGUGCACACAGGGAUGCCGGAAUUCAUGGUGUAGCGGUGAAAUGCUUAGAUAUCAUGCAGAACUCCGAUUGCGAAGGCAGCAUACCGGCGCCCAACUGACGCUGAAGCACGAAAGCGUGGGUAUCGAACAGGAUUAGAUACCCUAGUAGUC
rnacentral:rRNA from 1 species